UGGGGAAUUUUGGACAAUGGGGGCAACCCUGAUCCAGCAAUGCCGCGUGUGUGAAGAAGGCCUUCGGGUUGUAAAGCACUUUUGUCCGGAAAGAAAUCCUCUGGGUUAAUACCUCGGGGGGAUGACGGUACCGGAAGAAUAAGCACCGGCUAACUACGUGCCAGCAGCCGCGGUAAUACGUAGGGUGCGAGCGUUAAUCGGAAUUACUGGGCGUAAAGCGUGCGCAGGCGGUUCGUUAAGUUCGUUGUGAAAGCCCCGGGCUCAACCUGGGAACUGCAAUGGAAACUGGCGGGCUUGAAUGCGGCAGAGGGGGGUGGAAUUCCGCGUGUAGCAGUGAAAUGCGUAGAGAUGCGGAGGAACACCGAUGGCGAAGGCAGCCCCCUGGGCCGACAUUGACGCUCAGGCACGAAAGCGUGGGGAGCAAAC
rnacentral:rRNA from 1 species